rnacentral:tRNA from 3 species
UCUAAUAUGGCAGAUAAGUGCAAUGGACUUAAACCCCAGGUAUAAAGUAAUUCUUUUAUUAGAA